rnacentral:rRNA from 1 species
GAUGAACGCUGGCAGCGUGCCUAAUACAUGCAAGUCGAGCGGACAGACGAGGAGCUUGCUCCUCUGACGUUAGCGGCGGACGGGUGAGUAACACGUGGAUAACCUACCUAUAAGACUGGGAUAACUUCGGGAAACCGGAGCUAAUACCGGAUAAUAUAUUGAACCGCAUGGUUCAAUAGUGAAAGACGGUUUUGCUGUCACUUAUAGAUGGAUCCGCGCCGCAUUAGCUAGUUGGUAAGGUAACGGCUUACCAAGGCAACGAUGCGUAGCCGACCUGAGAGGGUGAUCGGCCACACUGGAACUGAGACACGGUCCAGACUCCUACGGGAGGCAGCAGUAGGGAAUCUUCCGCAAAGGGCGAAAGCCUGACGGAGCAACGCCGCGUGAGUGAUGAAGGUCUUCGGAUCGUAAAACUCUGUUAUUAGGGAAGAACAAAUGUGUAAGUAACUAUGCACGUCUUGACGGUACCUAAUCAGAAAGCCACGGCUAACUACGUG